rnacentral:rRNA from 1 species
UACAGAGGUCUCAAGCGUUGUUCGGAUUCAUUGGGCGUAAAGGGUGUGUAGGUGGCGCCGUAAGUCGGGUGUGAAAUUUCGGAGCUUAACUCCGAAACUGCAUUCGAUACUGCCGUGCUUGAGGACUGGAGAGGAGACUGGAAUUUACGGUGUAGCGGUGAAAUGCGUAGAUAUCGUAAGGAAGACCAGUGGCGAAGGCGGGUUUCUGGACAGUUCCUGGACGCUGAGGCACGAAGGC